rnacentral:rRNA from 1 species
CCUACGGGUGGCAGCAGUGGGGAAUAUUGGACAAUGGGCGAAAGCCUGAUCCAGCCAUGCCGCGUGUGUGAAGAAGGCCUUCGGGUUGUAAAGCACUUUCAGUGGGGAAGAAAGCCUUGGGGCUAAUACCCUCGAGGAAGGACAUCACCCACAGAAGAAGCACCGGCUAACUCCGUGCCAGCAGCCGCGGUAAUACGGAGGGUGCGAGCGUUAAUCGGAAUUACUGGGCGUAAAGCGCGCGUAGGCGGUCUGAUAAGCCGGUUGUGAAAGCCCCGGGCUCAACCUGGGAACGGCAUCCGGAACUGUCAGGCUAGAGUGCAGGAGAGGAAGGUUGAAUUCCCGGUGUAGCGGUGAAAUGCGUAGAGAUCGGGAGGAAUACCAGUGGCGAAGGCGGCCUUCUGGACUGACACUGACGCUGAGGUGCGAAAGCGUGGGUAGCAAACAGGAUUAGAUACCCGUGUAGUC